rnacentral:misc_RNA from 1 species
GUGAAUCAUCGAAUCUUUGAACGCAAAUUGCGCUUCCUGGCAUCCCGGGAAGUAUGCCUGUUUGAGGGUCAGUAUUAACAAAAAAUCGGUUUGGUUGCAAAUUGUGACGUUUCCGGUGUUUGGGCUAUCUUAACUUUUUUGGUUAAGGGGCUUAAAAUUGACAUUCUUUGCGCACUUUUCGCCGUACACAAAUUUUUUUAUUCGUCUAUCAUUAAUGCCAAAA